rnacentral:rRNA from 1 species
GGAGUUUGAUCCUGGCUCUCAGCGAACGCUGGCGGCGUGCUUAACACAUGCGCCUCCAGUGCGCGUCUGUAGCAAUACAGAUGGCGCACGGCUCACGGGUGCGUAACACGUGGGUAAUCUGCCCUUCGAUGGGGAAUAUCUUCGGGAAACCGAAGCGAAUUCCGCAUAACAUUCCUUGAACUUCGGUUUGGGGACUCAAAGCCGUAAGGCGUCGGAGGAGGAACCCGCGCACGAUUAGCUAGUUGGUAGGGUAACGGCCUACCAAGGCUUUGAUCGUUAGCUGGUCUGAGAGGAUGGCCAGCCACACUGGAACUGAGACACGGUCCAGACUCCUACGGGAGGCAGCAGUGGGGAAUCUUGCACAAUGGGCGAAAGCCUGAUGCGCGACGCCGCGUGGGGGAUGAAGCUUUUCGGAGUGUAAACCCCUUUCGACCCGGACGAAUGCCCCGCAAGGGGACUGACGGUACGGGUAUAAGAAGCCCCGGCUAACUACGUGCCAGCAGCCGCGGUAAGACGUGGGGGGCCAGCGUUGCUCGGAAUUACUGGGUGUAAAGGGUUCGUAUGCGGUGUGGCAAGUCGGGAGUGAAAUCUCUGGGCUUAACUCAGAGUCUGCUUCCGAAACUGCUGUGCUUGAGUGUGGGAGAGGCGCGUGGAAUUGCAGGUGUGACGGUGAAAUGCGUACAUAUCUGCAGGAACACCCGUGGCGAAAACUGCGCGCUGGACACUACUGACGCUACGAACGAAAGCUAGGGGAGCAACAGGAUGGAUACCCUGGUAGUCUCGCCCAAACGAUCAGCACUUGGGGUGCCGCAUCUCGUGCGC